rnacentral:rRNA from 1 species
AUGGAGUUCGUGGCGUCCAUCGUCGACACGGCGUUCCGGCCGCUCAAGGACUACUUCGCGCGGACGUUCGGGUACGUCAUGUCCUGCGCCGACUACAUCGACGCGCUGGGCCAGGAGGUGGACGAGCUCAAGAGCAAGCGCGACGACGUCAAGCGCAUGGUGGACGCCGCCGAGCGCCAGGGGAUGGAGGCCACCAGCCAGGUCAAGUGGUGGCUCGAGUGCGUCGCCAGGCUCGAGGACGCCGCCGCCCGGAUCCACGCCGAGUACCAGGCGCGCCUGCAGCUCCCGCCCGACCAGGCGCCCGGCCUCAGGGCCACCUACCGCCUCAGCCAGAGGGCCGACGAGACGCUCGCCGAGGCCGCCGGCCUCAAGGACAAGGGCGACUUCCACAAGGUCGCCGACGAGCUCGUGCAGGUCCGCUUCGAGGAGAUGCCCAGCGCGCCCGUCGUCGGCAUGGACGAGAUGCUCCAGGAGCUCCACGCCUGUGUCCGGGGCGGCGACGUCGGCGUCGUCGGCGUCUACGGCAUGGGCGGGAUCGGCAAGACCGCGCUGCUCCACAAGUUCAACAACGACUUCCUCAUCGGCUCGCAGGACAUCAAUGUCGUCAUCUACAUCCAAGUUGGCAGGGAGUUCAGCCUCGACGACAUCCAGAAGGUCAUCGGCGACCGGCUCGGGUUGAGCUGGGAGAACAGGACGCCCAAGGAGCGCGCUGGGGUGCUAUACAGGGUGCUCACCAAGAUGAACUUUGUGUUGCUGCUGGACGACCUCUGGGAGCCACUCAACUUCCGGAUGCUCGGCAUUCCGGUUCCCAAGCACAACUCCAAGAGCAAGAUCAUCGUGGCGACGAGGAUGGAGGACGUGUGCAACCGAAUGGAUGUCCGUCGCAAGCUCAAGAUGGAGCGCCUGCCACCGAUGGCUGCCUGGGAGCUCUUCUGUGACAAGGUCGGCGAGCACCUCGUGCGUGCCGCCCCAGAGAUCUGGCGCCCGGCAAGGGGAGUGGCCAUGAAAUGUGGUGGGCUGCCCCUCGCGCUCAUCACCGUCGGCCGGGCCAUGGCAAGCAAACACACUGUAAAAGAAUGGAAGCACGCCAUCACUGUUCUAAAUAUUGCCCCAUGGCAGCUUCUUGGCAUGGAGUUGGACCUUCUUAUGCCUCUCAAGAGCAGCUAUGACAACUUGCCCAGUGACAAGCUAAGGCUCUGCCUGCUGUAUUGCUCGCUGUUUCCAGAGGACUUCAUCAUUUCCAAGGAUUGGGUCAUAGGCUACUGCAUCGGUGAAGGUUUCAUAGAUGAUCUAUACACUGAGAUGGAUGAGAUAUACAACAAAGGGCAUGACCUUCUGGGUGAUCUCGAGAUUGCAUCUUUGCUGGAAAAAGGUAAAGACGACGAACACAUCAGUAUGCAUCCCAUGGUCCGCGCGAUGGCUCUCUGGAUAGCAUCAGAAUUCGGCACAAAAGAGACCAAAUGGCUUGUCCGUGCCUGGGUUGGGCUCAAGGAAGCACCAGGUGCAGAGAAAUGGAACGAGGCCGAGCGGAUUUGUUUCAUGCGGAAUAACAUCGUGGAGCUGUAUGAGACGCCUAAUUGCCCUCUGUUGAAGACCUUGAUGCUACAAAACAACGCUGGGUUGAAAAAGUUGUGCGACGGCUUCUUCCAGUUCAUGCCAUCUCUCAGGGUAUUAGAUCUCUCGCACACCUCUAUCACUGAAUUACCCUCAGGGAUCAGUGCAUUGGUUCAGUUGCAGUACCUUGAUUUGUAUCACACAUACAUCAAAUCACUGCCAAGGGAGCUAGGAUCACUGGUCAGUCUGCGGUUCCUGCUGCUCUCACAUAUGCCGCUUGUAAUGAUCCCAGGUGGUGUCAUAGAUAGCCUCAAAAUGCUGCAAGUUCUGUACAUGGACUUCAGUUACGGAGACUGGAAAGUUGGUGAGAGUGGAAAUGGUGUUGAUUUUCAGGAGCUUGAGAGCCUACGCAGGCUCAAGGCAAUCGACAUCACAGUACAGUCGGUCGAGGCCCUAGAGAGACUGGCGCGGUCAUAUCGCCUCGCCGGUACAACAAGAAAUCUGAUGAUAAAAGCAUGCGGUGGCCUGACAAAGAUAGAGCUCCCUUCAAGCCACCUCUGGAAGACCAUGACAAACCUGAAGAGAGUGUGGAUCGCAAACUGCAGCAAUCUAGCGGAGGUGAUCAUUGACGGCAGUGAAGAAACUGAUUGCCCCAUUUUAGAUCCCUGUGAUUUUAUGAGGAUGGGUGAAGUUAUCGAGUGUGAACAGCCCGCCCUUGAUAGCCUGCAGGGUAUCAUCCUGCAGAGCCUUCUGAAGGUAAAGAUCGUCUACAGGGGUGGGUGCGUCGAGAAUCUGUCAUCAUUGUUCAUCUGGUACUGCCUAGGACUGGAGGAGCUCAUCACACUCAGCGAUGGAGAUCAAGAAGCAGCGGCGAACGAAGACGAACAAGCUGCAGGGACUACUAGCAAAGUGAUCACGCCCUUCCCUAAACUUAAGGAACUGUAUCUCCAAGGCCUACCAAAUUUGAGGGCGCUGAGCAGUAGCGCAUGCAUGCUGCGGUUCCCGUCACUGAAGAGACUCAAGAUCGUCGAUUGUCCAAGCCUCAAGAGGCUUAAACUUGUUGACGCGGAACUAAAGGUGAUACAAUGCGCGAGGGACUGGUUCGAUGGGUUGGAGUGGGAUGAUGAUGAGGUCAAAGCAUCUUACGAGCCACUGUUGGAUGAAAGAUAUGAGUGA